UGUGUAUAUGUAAAUAUAUUUUGAGUAAGUUGGCAGGACCAUCAGUGCAAGAUAUAAUUCGUGAAAUUCCGCAAUAUUCAUAAAAAAUGAAAAAUACAAAAAAUAAAACGCCCAAUUCAAAAACUCCCAAUGCCAUGAAUAUUGAAAAAGAAUACGUCGUUGAAAACAUCACAGGAAAGCGCUUCUUCCAAGGAGAAACGCAGUAUUUUGUUAAAUGGGAGGGCUUUGCGCCAGAGAGCAGCACGUGGGAGCCAAUGAAGAACCUUGGGAACUGCAUCCAUCUGUUGGCCCAAUUUGAAAACGAUGUCUACUACUAUAAUAGUUGCAGCAAACCGGAAGACCAAAAGCCUAUUCAAAUCUACGAUUGGAAUAAAAAAGUUGUCCAGCUGAGCGAAUCCAGAGCCGAGGAAACAUCGCCGGCUUUUGAACCAGUAACCCCACCAAAAAGUCAAAUGGUGUCGUCAGCCACAUCCUCCUACUCCUCCUCCUCUUCCUCAUCCUCUUCCACCUCUUCGCUUUCCCAACCCCAACCAGAUCCAGUUCUGCCUACCAAGCAAACCAAACCCCCACCACAACCAGAUCUCCCUACCAAUGAAAAAAAAGUAAAGUUCGGCGACAUACUGGAUGCUGAAAAGAAGCAUAAGAAAGACGAAGAGAGGAAGCUAUCUACGACCACCGAAAAUACUCACCUCAAAAGCUCCCUUGAGGGUGACGAGGACUGUAGUACUCCAGAGGAUGAGGAGGAUGAACAGGAUGAAAUUUCUGGCUUAGCGCUUGGGCUCAAGCUGGAAAGCGUGAUCCACAAAUUUCAAGUGAGAGAUGAUUUGUAUCUAGUCGUAAAGUGGAUUGGCCGCGAUGUGCCUGAUAUGGUCCAUAUCGAUGAUAUAAAAGAUUUAUAUUCACAUGAAAUAAAUCAAUAUUUCCAGACUAUUCAACAGAUCAAAGAUGACCUGGUGAGUUCUGUGUCUGUCUGUUUGCGUGUGUGGAUUUAGUUUAACCUGGCCCUGUGCCCAUAACCUUAAACGCGCACUUCCGCUCAUCGCCAGCUUCUUUUCAUAGCUUUACAGUUCGACGCUCGCAGAAUUUGAGCCAUGAGCCAUGAAAACUUCACUUUGCCUUCGGGUCAAGAUAAAUGCCAUCGGAAUACAAAAACAAAAACACAAGCGAAAACGAAGCAUCUCCAUCCGGUCUACCACCGAAUCAACUUGCUGGAAACGUUAUCCUAUAUGCCACUUACCAUACUUUUGGAUUCUGCAUGGACCAUGCACCAUUCACAGGCACAUAUGCACCUGUAUCUGCAUUUUCUGCAAUUCUUCAUAAAUCAUUGAUAAUGUUAGGGCUGUGGCCACAUGACAAAUUGUUGUACGCAUAGAACUUGUUACUUAACAGAUUUAUGACUGUGCCAUAGAAGAUUUACGCCAGCUUCUUCAAGGGAUACAGAAUUCAGUGUAAUGGAAUGAAUUCUCAUACCCUACACGUGUCUACACUCACUCUGCUGUUCCUACAAUUGUAGAUUUCGUGCUCAAGAUCAAGUUGCGAAAAUUAUGAGACUUUGGCUUGGGGUUUUUGGUUUCCAUUUGGCUUAUCUGUGGCAUCUGUUGACAGCUGCUUCCAACGGCGAUGGCGACGACGCCUUUGCUUUGAACCUUUCGGCUUAGCAACUGGCGAAUCACAGCUCUUAUUUCUGCUUUGUCUCCUAUCCAUGGCAUGUUCGUUUGGCUAGAACAAGCCAAUAACUCCCUCGCACUAUGUAGGCGUUUAAGACGCUCCAUGGUUCGUUCAACCUGGGGCCAGAGUCCCAGAAAUAAGUCCGAAAACCCACAAUUGUGAUCUCGUAUUGAUGUGCUGAAGACAGAAGAGAGACAUGCUCAUGCUGCUCUCUGGGAUGUGUGGUUUAAUGGCUGUAUCACACUGCUGUAACCUUCAAUCAGGCCCCGACUAGACCCAUUCGAACCAAACUCAAAGCACCCAAGUGACAUGUACACAUGGAUCGAGGGAGACACACCUAGACGGAGUAGCGCAUGUUGACUGGACUAGCACUAGCACGCCUGUGGCGUGGUCAGGCUAAUGUGUCCAUUUGGCUGACGCUUGCGCCAUUUCAAUGUCAUUUGUAAGCUGCCUGCUGCUUGCUGAUUGCAUAUUUCAGCAGUUUACACAAUUUUCUUGGAUUGCAUCGCACAGAUCAUAAGCGAACGCUUUUUGUUGUAUUGCUCGAAUGAAUGUUUGCUUAGAUUCGCACUCAGAUUGUCCGUACAUAUAAAUAUAUCUGUUUUUAUGGCUAAUUAAAUGACUUUGGCUAGACCCUGUAACUCAUUUAAUAGCUGCUUGAAUGGCUUACAGCUAAUUACAACUUUUAUUAAAUUAACUUAAAGUGUUUAGAGCAGAGGUCAGUCGUUAGUUUGAAUUUUAAAAAACAUUUAAGUCCGUUAACUAAAGCUAGGGUAAUCACAAAAAGGCAGUGUAAAGUUACAGAUCAGUACGGUCUUAAUUCAAUCUCUUAUUCUUCAUGAAGCACAGUUCAUAUAUGAGAUAUGAUUUAUAACUAGCUAAUAUUUCGAUUUGUGCUUGGGGUUCAUCAAAAUUUUAGUGUUUUUUUGGUUGGGUUAUUUGGGUUUACCCUUAGUUUGUUCUGGGAAUUAACACGUUCAUAUGCAUACAUUAGUGCAUAAUAUAAUCAAUUAUCUCUGUAUUUGUACGUCCAAGGCGUGCCGGCACUCGCAGCCCAGCGAUCUAUUAUUAUUUUCCAUUGUUGCUGUGCAAUUUAUUCGCUUCUACCUUCCUGAUUUCUGUGUUUCUGGGCUGCCUUCGACUUUGGCGUUCAUUGAAUUAUGUCUGUGUUGGAAUUAGACCCGCUGUCCGUGGCAUUUGCUGUUGUCGCUGAGGUUGGAACUAGUUUUGCCAUACAUUCUCGUAUGUGUAUGGCAUUUUCGAGGAGUGGAGUGGAGUGGCUAGCAGAUAGGAAAAGGGAAAUUAGAUCUGCAAAAUAUUUUCAUUUUAAGGUAAAAUUUGGCUCUAGCAAUGGGAACAACAACAAAUAGCAGAUGCGUCAAGUUCAGGGUCGACGCUCUUAAAUUUACUUUCCUUUUCUUUGUUUUUGAUCAUUUUCAUAUCUUUUUAAAGUAUUUACAGCAAUGUGUAUUUACUCGAAUGUACCGAAAGUACACCUUCUUUCACACAUAAUUUGUAUACUCGCGAAGAGCUUCUAUUAAGAACUUGUUUAAAUAUUAUUAAGAAAUUAUAGACUAUAGUUUAAAGUUAGUACAUUACGUUGGACGAAGUUAACUACGAAGGAAUCAAUGAAACUAGCUAUUAUUUGAAACAAUAAGUUUGUUAUACCGUUUAAAGUUUGAAAGCUCAGUCAGAUCUAUUACUUAUCACAAUGAACAAAGAAUUUGCAUAAACAAUUUUCCAAUAAAUAUGUGUAUUAGUAUAGCCAA